UGAACGCUGGCGGCGUGCCUAACACAUGCAAGUCGAACGGGGUACUGGCAGCGGAGAUUCGGUCAAAGCAGCCUUUAACCGUAGUGGCGGACGGGUGAGUAACGCGUGGGGAACCUGCCCUGGUACUGGGGGGAUAACAGUGAGAAAUCACUGCUAAUACCGCAUAAGCGCACAGCAUCGCAUGAUGCAGUGUGAAAAACUGAGGUGGUACAGGAUGGCUCCGCGUUGGAUUAGCCAGUUGGCGGGGUAACGGCCCACCAAAGCGACGAUCCAUAGCCGGCCUGAGAGGGUGAACGGCCACAUUGGGACUGAGACACGGCCCAGACUCCUACGGGAGGCAGCAGUGGGGAAUAUUGCACAAUGGGGGAAACCCUGAUGCAGCCGACGCCGCGUGAAGGAAGAAGUAUCUCGGUAUGUAAACUUCUAUCAGCAGGGAAGAUGAUGACGGUACCUGACUAAGAAGCCCCGGCUAACUACGUGCCAGCAGCAGC
rnacentral:rRNA from 1 species